UCAAACCAAGGAGAGAGGGAGAGAGAGAGAGCUGCUCAAACCAAGGAGAGAGAGAGGUAGGUUCAACCAUAGAAGAGAAGAGAGGAAGCAAGAUUGAAUCAAGUUUGAAGCUAAAAGAGAAAGAGGAAGCAAAAUCAAGUGGUAAACACAACUAUUCUAGCUUCUAAUUUAAAUAGUUUCUAAAAUUUCUUUCUCAUAUGGAUUUUAUGAAACCAUAAACAAGAGUAAGCUAAACUUAUAUGUUUAUUAGGAAUGUAAUAGCAUAGAGUUUGAAAGUUGAGCAAGAAAUUAGAUGGAAAGAAGAAAAGAAAAGCAAACUAUGCUCAAAUAGAGCUAGUUUAGGGGCUGUGAUUGCAGUAACCAUAACUCUAUGUGCAUAACUAGUUUGAACAUGAAAUUUUCAUGACACGUAAUAUUAAAGUUCAUCUACAUGUUGUAAAAAUUUGGAACUCAGAUUAUUAUAGAUAUUUAAUUAAAAGUCUUGCAAGGAGGCUGGACCUUUAGUACCUAUUUUUAAAAACAGGUCUAUAUAUGAAGUUAGGGACUUUAUUUAGACCUGAAAUUUUUAUGGUAGAUACCUACUACUGAUAUAGGGAGGAUGUCGUCCAAAAUUAAGCUCAAACAGAGUUGUAAGUACUUAAUUAAAAAUUAAACAGUUUUGAAAUUGAAAACCUUAAAACAAGCAUAAUUUGGUCUCUGGUUAUCGUCUAAGGCUGAAACUUUAACUGUGGACUCUCUGUGAUGGUGGGAAGACACUGUCCAAAUUUCACAAUUUUUGGACAAAUUAUGAAAAUUGUUGCAAUACUGAAUAAAAUUAGCCCUAAAACAUAUAGAAAACGUAAAUGGAAAAAUCUGGAAAAUUUCUAGAAAAUACUUUAUAUAUAUAACUAACUGAGGUUAAAAGAAUUUGGUAAAAUAAAAUCUUUAAAGUGGUCUGAUGGAAGAAAUGAAGUUGGAAAAAUUGUUAAAAGUUGUUUAAAGCCAAAACUGUGUAAUAAAAAUUUACCAGUUAAUGAAGUCAAAAUUGAGGUAUUAGGGUCAAGUUAAUGAUGAAAUGAAGUUUCAAAAGUUGAGAUGUAAAAAGGGACUUUAAAUGUACUCAAAAAUGAGUUUAAAAUAAACAAAUAAUCCAAAAUGUAAAUUAUGGGAAGUUACCGACGAUAACGAGUAAUUUAAUAAUUUAAUAAGGAAAUUGAUAUUCAACCUUUUGUUAUGAUACAGGUAAUAUGAGGGAAGGAGUUAGUGAAGUAAGUAAAGGACGAACUGUAAAAUCAGGCCAGUUUUCGCACUAUGUGCAUCAGUUUUCAAUUUGAACCUUUCGAACUGUAAUUGCAAUUGCUUAGCUUCAAAACUUCGAUUAUGUUUCAUAUUGUGAUUGAUUUAAGAGUUGAUGCUAUGUUAUUCAAUUAAAAUCUGAUAAUUAAGCAAUUCUUUUGCUGAACGACUCUAUUUGAGAUAUUGAAUGUCAAUGAUUCAUUAUAUAUCAUAUUUGUUGUGAUAAUUGAUUGUUCCAAACCAAGUUGACUUGGGGUGAAUUUGUUGAGGCUUUAUAAUUGAGAUGAACACCCCUAAAUUAUAGGAGAGUUGUAUAAGAAUGUCGACUCGCCGACGAUACACUGUUGAACUACGGUGUGGUAAUUAUGUUACAUGUAACGAAGAGUACUGUUAAGUUGAUCACCUAUAGUACAAUAUGGAAAGAGUUCUUGGUUCUUUAAAACCACUCAGUUACCUUGGUAGUAAUGAUGAUGUUGAUAGUGUUGUGAUUUCAAAUCUUAUUUACUAUUUGAUUUCUAGACGUUGAGAUACUCACUAAUAUGUAUUCAUUGUAUAGUAAGCCUUAUAAAUUGUUUCAUUCAGUCUUUAAAAUUUGCUAAGCAAUUGAUUGCUCACUCUUGCAUAUUUUAUAUUUCAGACAAGAUAGAAGGAGCUAAAGGGUCAGUAAGAAAGAUAAGGGUGAAGGAGUCCUCAACCCAGAAGAGUAGCUGUAAUUAGUAUGAUAGCAUAAUUUUGGAUAAGUUGUAAUAGACAUUAAUAAUAAUAAAGACCUG
rnacentral:lncRNA from 1 species